rnacentral:lncRNA from 1 species
AUUCGGGUCGGGUGGACGAUUCCGUCCCGGUGCAGCCAGCCUGCCCCAUUCAUGAAGUUCAUUUCGAUGGGCAGAAUUUUCUUUUUCAGACUUUUAAAAAAUAGGCACGCAUGGAUCAUUAUUAGGAUCUAAUGCAGGGUGUUUGGGAGAGCGCAUCGAUGUGGGGAAACGUGCGCGUUAAAUUGAUCAGAAAAACAAAAUGUUUCAUGUCAAGGUAUUUUGAGAUUUGCCUCUCGGGCCGACUUCCUAAGAGGGUGAGUCAUCGGAUAAAGGGGAGAUGCCUUUGACUGGAGCGUCCGCGUCAAUUUUGUUGUCAUUGUCACCUCUUUCCCGAGCCUUCUGCGCUCUCAAGCCCCCAGAGUGAACACGCUUCAGCUGUUGCAGCUGCCCUUUCCAGACCUAAUAUUUGUAAUCAAUGUGUGCUUUUGACUUGAGUGGCAACAGUGAGGGAUGAGAAGGGGGGAGGGGAGGAAGAGACUGGCUCUAACUCAUUCCCCGAGUACGCUCAGUGUAGACGGACAGAAAGAACUCGGUCUUCACUCUAGGGACCCAACUUUUCCUUUCGCCCCGCCCGGAGCCCUACUUACUCCGGCUCCCGGCGUUUCUCCCACAGUCAAGGAAACCAGCCCUCGGUCUGCACCGACCCCAACCCCGGCCUCUGGUCGGGACUCCACGGCGACCUUCCCCGGCUCGCGGGUCUCCAGGCCACGCUCUGCGCAAUGGGCACCCCGGGGCGGAGGGCACGCGGCUCCGAGGCGCCCCAGCGAGAGGGGCGGGGCGAGCGGGGGCGGGGCCUGGAGGGACCAAUCAGCGGGCGAGGCUGUGGCCGAGCCGCGAUUGGUCCGCCCCGCGGGUUCCAACCUGCACCGCCCGCUCGGUCCUUUGAGCCACUGCAUCCCCUAGCGGCGCCCGGGUGGCUGCAGCCGCUGGCCCGAAAAUGCUGCUCGGGCGAGCAGGGGUCAGGCGGGAAAAGAAGACUCCAAAUCCACUCUCUGCUCGCCCCCAGGGCAAUGCUGCCAGGAGAGGGAGUGGGUUCCCCCGCAGGCUAUCCCACCGAUGGGGCUGAGAGCUUAAUUUGGGGUUUUAUUUGAAUUGGAGACAUUGUUCCCUCUUCGCUCCUCUACCCCAUAAAAUUCCCUACAAAUGCAAAAAUUCGAGAUAGAAGAAGCCGUCCCUGAAAGUAAGUUCUGAAGGAUUCCUUUCAUGCGGUGAAGGAACAACAACAAUAUUCAACUUCACCUUGGUGUGUGAGGGUCGUCGUGUUUUAAAACACUAUCCCUGUAGAAAGAUUAGUGAAAUGUAUUGGAAGAAGUAGUGGAAACGUGAAUCUUCCUGGUCUCGCGUUUGGAUCUUCUUUGGAGUCCUCACCUUCUUAAAUCUGAUGUUUGUUUGAAAUCAGGGCUGAAUUUCCAUAUAUAGGACAGAAAGAAAGAACCCCAAUUUUUUAAAGAAAGCUCCCCCCCCCCCCGCCACGUUUCUCCUGAGCCCACUUGGUCUCCCGUUAUUAGGCGGCCCAGUUAAGAGGCAUCGAUUUUCCUUUCAUUCUCUGACCACUCGUCUCUCCUGGGCCAGCCAGGCUGCCCGCAUCUUCUCCUGCUCACAGCGCUCUCUAAACCUUUUAAUUAUUUAGUUGCUGUCUAACAUUCACCGGAAACCUCUCCAUAAACAAGGAGAAACGAAUGCACACGCAUUUUUGCUAAGAAGCCCGGGAUUAAGAUUUAAGGAUACAAGCUGAAAGAAAAAAUGAAAAAUGCUUCUCCGCGCGUCAAUCGAGGGGUGGAUGCGCCACGCAGCGUGAGCCCAGCUCACAGCCACGCGUAAGACCAAAAGCUGCCAUGGGUUCUGCGCGCGGAGACCUCAGAGCCGAAGAGAGAAGUCCCCGCGUCAGAAACGCUGCGGAUGCCAGGUCUUGAAAAUGCUGACUUCUGAGGCUAAGAAUUAUUUCAAAGACAAAAAGAAAAGACUGGAGCAGCCGGCGGAGCUCGGGUGGAGGAAAGCGAGGAGGCGACCAGGAGGAUGCCGCCGCCGCCGCCGCAGGGCCCGGGGCUUCUGCAGGGCGCAAGGCCUCCCUCACCAGGGUAAGGGGCUGGCGAUCAACCUGGACGCCUGGGACCUUGGGAGCAAGCAUCCCGCAGCCGAGCAGGCGACGGCGCGGCCACCGCCUAGAGAGGAGCCGGGGCCCGGGGCGGCGUGCGGGUCGGCAGCAGCCGGCUUGGCCUAUCCGAAACCCCAGGCCUGGAAGCGGCUGCUUUAGGCGUCAAGUUGAGCGGGGUAUGUGUGUCCUCUUGGGAAAAAGGUGAGAAAUGGAGCCGGACUUUCUCCACUCGGUAGGGGUUAAGCUACCACACACACCCCCAAACACAUGCCCACGUGCAAGUCCCUCCCACCCGCCCUCCCAGGGGCGAAGAGACCCUGUCCCAGUGGAAGUGGGGAAACCCAGUCGGGUACAGAAAGCAGAGGCCAUGGCGCAGAGCGGAGGCGCGGCUUUCUGGGGCUCAGCCCUAGGGCUACAGACCCAGGGCGCGGAGAUGCUCGCGGCCGGGCCACCCACCAGAGCCAGGCAACCGGCGCUUCCAGGCGAGCUCCGCGGGGCCGAGGUGCCGGGAGAAGCGGCCCCGGGCGCCCGCGCGCUGCCCGACCUGGGUAACAGGCAAAGCGGAGCCCCGGGGUCGAAGUCCUAAAGUUACUAAUCCCGCGGAGGGGGAGAGAGCGUGCCUCGGGCCGCCCGGGGCGGUCAUUUGAGCGUGUUUACUUAAAGACUUUGCAAGCAGAGCGCGCGCGAAAUCGUCGGAUUUCCAGCGAGGCAGCAAAUAUUUGCAGGCAGAAGAAAGAAGCGGAGCCGAGCCGAGCCGCCGAGUCCCUCCCCCCGGAGCCCCGGAGCCCCGGCGCCUGCCUGGGCGGUCCCGGCCGCGCAGACAGAAAAGAAGCCGGGAAUCUGCGGGGCUGGGGGGCGGGGAGCGACACCAAAGGCCAGAAACUGCAGCACGGCCCGAGGCCCUGGCGAGCUGGGCCUGGGGGAGGAGAAGUCCCUUCCCAUUCCAGCUCGAUCAAUCUUGCUGGGCUGCGAUCGGUCAAUAAAAACGGUGUGAAGCGGCCGCUGUCGCUGUGAGUCUGGGGAGGAAGUGGAGGCCAAAGGUGUCGAGGCCGGCGCCAGUACCCCGCACCAGCCGGGUCCGCGGCCCCGCGGUCUGCACGUCGCAGGCCGGGGGCCAGAGCUUUGCCGGCAGCCGAGAGCGGCCCGGCGGGGCCUUUAAUUGGGUGUCUCCAUUUUAAUAGAGGCCAUUGUUGGAGCAAUUAGAGAAAGACAAUAACCGCCCAGAGACGUUUAAUUCGAUUCCCUGCGCCCGCCGCAGUACGCACCGGGGCGCUCUGGAAGAGUGGCCGAGGCUGCGCGGAAGGGAGGGUCCGCUUGGGGAGGCGCCGGCUUCUUUCCUUGCUUGCUUUGCCUUCGGUGUGGGAAUUGUAAAGGGCGACUGGGGCAAGAUGAAAGCGGGGCGAGGGCGACCUGAGCCAGGCCAGGGCCGGCCUCUCUAGCCCACGCCGGGCGCCCGCGGGACCGCCGCGCCUUUCGCGGCGCGCGUCCAGCUGUGGCCGCCGCGGAGGUCCCCAGCGCCUGUUCAAAGGAGAGAAGCCGGAGGACCGGGCCGUGAAAACUGGCCUCCUUCCUCCUUAGCCCCGGGUCCCCAUUUCUGUCACCCGAACCAUGUCCAUAUUUCCUUCCCUAUGGUGGGAGGAGGGGCAAAGGAGAGAUCCCGGGUAUUGGAGCGCGCACACCUCCGUCUCCAACCCAGCCAGCCUCACCGCCCCCUCCUCCGCCUCGGCCCCUGGAUUAGGUUACCCUGGCCGCGCAAGGGUUUCUACUGGAUAGGACUAUAGCACAGGUAAAGCUGUAUAAACAGCUCGCCGGCUGCCGGGCGGGAGGGUUAUGCCGGGGACACGGCUCCAGGCGCCGCCGCUGGCCCCGGCUGCGCGGGCCACACCGCGGGGAGCCCGCUGCGGCAGGGCGCCCCGGACCGCGCAGGUUAAAUACAUAUUAUCUCUGUCUCUGCCACUCGGGCCCCCGUUUUCUUUCCCUUGCGAGCUGAAAUGCGGAGAGCGGGGAGCAAGACCUAAACGGGAAGAAAAGGCAGUCGGGCAGUGGGCAAUACUGGUUGAGGAUCCCGGCCCAGCAAGGCUGGCUCUCUUCAAACAAAACCCAGAGAGCAGGGAACUUGGGGGAAAGCAGAGAAAGAGGGACCCUAAAACUCACUGGCAAUGGGAAGAUGAUGGAGGCGGGUGCGUCCAAGGGGCAACUCUCCUCGCGGCUCCCACGCCCACGCGCCCCGGGCCAGGAGUCUACCUUCCCCGUGAAAUGAGCUAUCGUUUUGGGGAUGGUAUGUGAUUUGAUUUACCCUUUUUUCUUUUCCUUCCUUUAGUUCUUUUUUCUUUUUCUUUUUUCUUUUUUUUUCUGUUUGUUUGUUUGUUUUGCUUAUUCAUCGAUCACCGUUUAAAACUCGGAAGGAAACCCGCCCAGGCCAGGAGAGCCGCGAGCCGUGGGGAGAGUCAAAAAAGAGGAGAUGCGCUGGGAGAUUCCCCCCGCCCCCGCACUCCGCCCCCAGCCCGGCCCCGGCCUCCACUUCGAGGGAUCCUGACCCUCCCACCGCCACUACCACCUUUUCCCCGGUUGAGAAAACCCCUGAUUGUAGCGAGAUAAAAAUUGGGUAGGUAGGGGUGCAGCGGAAAGGGGGAGACAGGAAGGGAGAGGGCAGGGGAUUUCUGCUUUCGGGUUUAACAACUCACACGUGAGGCGAGUGGCAGUUGGGGGGAGCCCCGGGUUGGGUGGGAGAGAAGGAACUCGCCUUGAGGGUGAGUGGAAAGGAAUUGGAGUCACCCUGGAGGAAAAGUGCCCUUUUCAGCUCUCUCCCUCCCUCCUGGCCUUGGCAGGUGGGGGGACAGGUGGGUGCCACGGGAGGAAAAGAAGGGGUGGAGGCAGCCCAGCCGGCGUCCCUGGGUCUCCCGGGCUUUGGACAUCUUACCCUGCCCCCAGUGGCAUCAGUGACUCCUAGCCAGGGGCUUGCUACUUCUAGACCCGACCUCUCCUCCGUCCCAGGGGGCCGCUCAGCCACACCGCUAUAGCACCCAGGACUCCGGCCCCUGCACCAAGGAAAGGCUCCAGCCUGGCAGAAAUUCACCCAUUUCAAGGCUUGGCCCACCAGGCCUUAGCAUUGCCGGGUGAGGUGGGGUGCACGCGGUGUUCAGUCUGGCCAGUCGGAGUCACCUGCUCCACUCCCCCGGCCUGGUCACCCACAUCCUCACAGCCACCCAGCUCCUGAGCCCCCUGGCCAACCACAGCCCCAACCCCCAGCGCUGGCCUCAGCCGAGUCUCCUCCGUCUGCUUCAGUUUGGCCUUUUAGGAGGAGAAGGAGGGCUUUAUCUGGGGACUAUUGUGUUUUGACUCAUCUAGAUUAGCCUAGGAGCUGGAGUGUGAUUGUAGCGGGACACUCUGGCAGGGGAUGUGUUCACAGCACGGAUAGGAAAAGAGGGGGAGGGGGACUCCAUUCAGAUCUUGGAGACAGUAGAGGCGCGCUUUUAAAAGCACAAACCGUUCUUGUCUUCCUUUGGACAUGCUAGAGACCACCUGGUGAAAAAAAAAAUCCAUGUUUGUGCCCGACUCAGAGGUGCAAAGGAGGAGGUUUGGCAUGCGCACCCUUCUCCCGGCCUCCCUUGGUCCCGGACUGCCCCCUACCCGCAGCCCCUCCCUCCGGGCAGCUCAGCUCUAGGCUGCCUUCCACCUCGCGGACCCUAAGCAAUUUGUUAUAUAAAACAAAACAGCAACCAGACGCAUGUGCCUGUUCUUCACUAACGCCAGCAGACCGGCAGCGACGGAUACCCGGUGGACCUCAGCCGGGACGCCUCGGGCAGCAGCUUCUUGCCCGCUGCCGCACCCACCUCUGCACCCCAGCUCGGGUCAGCCCAGCAGCCAAAGCAAAAGGGGGAUUCCUCAGUUUGCUCCCUUGGAGGCUACAAAGCCUCUCUCUGGUUAUUCCAACCGUUAAGUAAAAAAGAGGUGAUGGGAAAGAUUUGGUCUGCACACAAAGAUAUACCAGGAGAAGAAUGCACAUUUAUGUGUAAAAUGGCUUAGGCACCAAGAAUGAGACAUCACUUCAGUGCAGCCUAGAAAUAGUUAAAAAUAACCGAAUGCUAGAGGACAGAGGUGGUUUUGGGAUCUGCCCCACACUCCUUAUCAGGAUCCCUAAUUCCCUGCCACCUCCUAUGGUUCC